GUAGGUGAACCUGCGGAAGGAUCAUUACAAAUUAUGGCGAACUUCGCGUCUCGCGAGGUUUUGCGUCCAAACUUUAUUUAAAACAUCCCACUCUUUAAAAAAAAAAAAAAAUUAUCUAAUGAUAAAUAAAAAGAUCACUUUCAACAACGGAUCUCUUGGUUCUC
rnacentral:misc_RNA from 1 species